rnacentral:rRNA from 1 species
AUGGAAUUGAGUUUGUCUCAUAUGCUUCACCUUUUUAAUAUCUUUCGUGAGUAUGAUGGAAAGGAAAAUUGUGCUCAAGUACUAGAAGAAGAAUUACAUACAAUUCUUGGCUUAAAAUAUGUGAAUGAUGAGCAUGAUUGCAAUGUUGUUAGUAUGAAUUCCUUGAAUAUCCAUGAUGCUAAUGAUAUGCAAAGCCACAAGCUUGGGGAAGCUAUGUUUGAUGAAGAUGAUAUUUUUUGUCCCCCAAGCUUUGAUGAGCAAAUUUACUAUGAUGAAAGCAUGCCCCCUAUCUAUGAUGAUUAA